GAUGAACGCUGGCGGCGUGCUUAAUACAUGCAAGUCGAGCGAACAGACGAGGAUCUUGCUCCUCUUUCGUUUGGGGCGGACGUGUGUAUAACACGUGUAUAACCUACCUAUAUUACUGAUAUAUCUUGGGGAAACCGGAUCUUAUCGCGGAUAAGCUAUUGAACCGCAUUGUUGAAUGGUAAAUGACGGUUGUUCUGUCACUGCUAGAUGGUUCCGCGCUGCAUUAGCUAGUUGGUAAGGUAACGGCUUAUCACGGCAACGAUGCGUAGCCGAAGUGAGAGGGUGGUAGGCCACAUGGGAAGUGAGACACGGUCAAGACUCCUAAGGGAGGGAGCAGUCGGGAACCUGCCGCAAUAGGAGAAAGCAUGACGGAGCAACGCCGAGUGAGUGAUGACGGUCUUCGGAUCGUAAAACUCUGUUAUGAGGGAAGAACAACUGUGUACGGAAAUAUGCCCGUAGUGACGGUAACUAAUAAGAAAGCAACGGCUAACUACGUG
rnacentral:rRNA from 1 species